CGAAAGCGUAUGCUUACGUUGUUGCGGUUGAAAAGCUCAUAGUCGGAAUCAAGCUUUUCGCCGCUCGUGCCAAGGCCGCAAGGCCGCGGCGCGAACGAAACGAAAGAUGGUAGUGCAAAAACAACCGAAGGCGGACGGCCGGCGUGGCUCGGAAUCGCGCUUCUGGCGCGAUGACAAGUUGCACGUCGCGAGUCGUUCCGCGAGUUGCCCUGAAGAAAUUGAAGCGAUCAGGGCAGGUCGAACAUAUCGACCGAGAACAGUCGUGCAUGGUACAACGAAAGACGGCCGCGGCUCCGCCGCCGGCGUCGAGACAAUUGCGCGUGGCAAUGAUUGAGAGGAACGGACGGGGGCAUUCGUACUGUGCCGGGAGGGGUGAAAUCCGUGGAUCGGUGCAAGACGACCAGAAGCGAAAGCGAUUGCCCAGGACGUUUUCCUUGAUCAAGAGCGAAAGUCGGAGGUUCGAAGACGAUUAGAUACCGU
rnacentral:rRNA from 1 species